rnacentral:rRNA from 1 species
ACUUCCGCAAUGGACGAAAGUCUGACGGAGCACGCCGCGUGAGUGAUGAAGGUUUUCGGAUCGUAAAGCUCUGUUGUUAGGGAAGAACAAGUACCGUUCGAAUAGGGCGGUACCUUGACGGUACCUAACCAGAAAGCCACGGCUAACUACGUGCCAGCAGCCGCGGUAAUACGUAGGUGGCAAGCGUUGUCCGGAAUUAUUGGGCGUAAAGGGCUCGCAGGCGGUUUCUUAAGUCUGAUGUGAAAGCCCCCGGCUCAACCGGGGAGGGUCAUUGGAAACUGGGGAACUUGAGUGCAGAAGAGGAGAGUGGAAUUCCACGUGUAGCGGUGAAAUGCGUAGAGAUGUGGAGGAACACCAGUGGCGAAGGCGACUCUCUGGUCUGUAACUGACGCUGAGGAGCGAAAGCGUGGGGAGCGAACAGGAUUAGAUACCCUGGUAGUCCACGCCGUAAACGAUGAGUGCUAAGUGUUAGGGGGUUUCCGCCCCUUAGUGCUGCAGCUAACGCAUUAAGCACUCCGCCUGGGGAGUACGGUCGCAAGACUGAAACUCAAAGGAAUUGACGGGGGCCCGCACAAGCGGUGGAGCAUGUGGUUUAAUUCGAAGCACCGCGAAGAACCUUACCAGGUCUUUGACAUCCUCUGACAAUCCUAGAGAUAGGACGUCCCCUUCGGGGGCANAAUGACAGGUGGUGCAUGGUUGUC